AUUGUUCAUGUUCAUGUUAAAUGUCAUUUGUUUAGGUUUGAUGAUAUAUGAUUAAAUUUGUUUAAAUUUUUGGAUCAAUGAAUGAUUUAAAAUGACAUGUUGUCCAUACGAAUUUUAUGUUUAAACCAAUACAAUAAUUUAAUAUAGUUUACAAUUUAAGUUAUUGUCCUAAAAAGAGUAUAAACAAGAUAAUUUAUCCACUCACAAGUUCACAAUACAACUUUGGGAAGCUAAAACCAUCAAAAUCUCGGCUUUUGUUACCGACGACUUUCAAGACAUCUAUUCUUGCUCGCUCUUGCAGUAUGAACACUUCUAAUUCCUAAACCAUACUUCAAACAAGUGACGUGGGUGUUGUUAAACAUCCCUGUUUUUCUCAAAGGAUUUGAAAUUAUUAUACCUUUUCUUGACCAUUAUUUCUUUGUCGUGUGGUACACUUUACGGUUGAAGGUUAACAAGAAUGCUGCUGAUGAACACAUUGCAGAUGAACUGUUUGAUAAAAUGACAAUGAGAAAGCUACUCCCAAAUGCAGUUCGAGAAAUCACAUCAGCAGUCAUAUUUUGUAGGUUGCUUUGGAUUUUGAAGACAUAAUCCCUAAACAGUAGAUAACAGAAGGAAGAUACUCAAAGUCCAUCAGCAAGCAACUUGGCAAGGGGAUUCAAACUAGCAGUUGGCUUUUGGUAAUCAUUGAUCAAUGAGAACACAGUUUUAAGUUGUUCAGGGUCCAUGAUGUGUACUCUUGGGAUGGGGCCAAUCCACAUGAAUGAAUUCUUCCCUGCAUAUAUUCCACAAAUAUUUAACAUUGUUUAUUUUUCAUAACAAAAUUGUAUGUAACUUAAAUCAACAAAAGGCAUAUUGAUGUUGAAUAAAGCACUGGACUUCACAGGGAAUACAACUAUGAGAAAAUGAACAACACUUUAAUGAAAUGUAAAAUAUUAGGUUUUUUUUU